rnacentral:rRNA from 1 species
AGAACGAACGCUGGCGGCAGGCUUAACACAUGCAAGUCGAACGCACCGCAAGGUGAGUGGCAGACGGGUGAGUAACGCGUGGGAAUCUACCUAGCUCUUCGGAAUAGCUCCGGGAAACUGGAAUUAAUACCGAGUACGCCCUACGGGGGAAAGAUUUAUCGGAGUUAGAUGAGCCCGCGUUGGAUUAGCUAGUUGGUGGGGUAAUGGCCUACCAAGGCGACGAUCCAUAGCUGGUCUGAGAGGAUGAUCAGCCACACUGGGACUGAGACACGGCCCAGACUCCUACGGGAGGCAGCAGUGGGGAAUAUUGGACAAUGGGCGCAAGCCUGAUCCAGCCAUGCCGCGUGAGUGAUGAAGGCCUAGGUUGUAAAGCUCUUUCAGUGGGGAAGAUAAUGACGGUACCCACAGAAGAAGCCCCGGCUAACUUCGUGCCAGCAGCCGC